UACGCAAAGCUCCUGUCAAGUUUGCCUCAUCAUCUUCAGUCCAACAGGUUACUUUUUCUCAUGGCACAGAUGGCCAGCCUUUAUUAUUGCCAUAUAAGCCUUCUGGUAGUACGAAGAUGUAUUAUGUUCCACAAUUAAGACAAAUUCCUCCAUCUCCAGAUUCCAAAUCAGAUACCACCGUUGAAAGCUCCCAUUCAGAUGCCUCAGUUCAAGUGCUAAUCACUGGGGAUGAGAACCUC
rnacentral:sRNA from 1 species